rnacentral:tRNA from 1 species
GGGCGGUUAGCUCAGCGGUAGAGCAAUGCGUUUACAUCGCAGAGGCCGGGGGUUCAAAUCCCUCACCGCCCA